CUUUAAGUUGUCUUCUGAGAAUAACUAUUCUAUAUCAGGAAAGCCUAGCUGGCAGGACUGCAUUAUAAUACAGAACUGAAGGAUCUGUGCAGUAGGUCAACGGAAACGGACAGAAAUAGUUUUCUUUCAUUUGGAGUAGGCUACUAAUCUCUGAAGAGCUGAUAAACACACAUGCUUACUGUAAGUGGGUGCAAUUAUCAGAUGAACAGUCAGAUAAACAUCAGCUUUCCCAGAGUAAAGCUUCCUCAUCUAUUUGUCUUCCUCUGAAAUUCCUUUGUUACUGCCCUUUCUUCUAGAACUACAAACACAAAUGCCUACGUCUUUUUGUUCCCCAGGAUUCCAAUCUUGGAGAUUUAAUCAAAUAACAAUAUUCCACAUCAUAACAUCAUGCAGUGUACUGGGAGUUAGAGAGCAAAUGCUCUAGUUCUGGGUGCUUGUCCAGAAGAGAAGAACUACGUUCCCCAGAAGACUGUUUGAGUACUGUUAUCAUUCCUGCUCAGGGGAACAGAUAUAUGGCCUGUAGGUCACCUGACCUGUGUCCUCUUCCCUUUCUUCUUAUCUCAUGCUCGCUUGCGGAUCGUCUCACUGCUGCUCCCGACUGCAUGCAAGGCUUCAGUAUUAGUAGAAUGCUACAAAAGCAGUUACACUGGCAUAUAGUUAAAUCAUGGCUUUUCCUUCAGUCUGAUUUGUGACUGGAAAUCACUAGUGCAAGAUGGGAAGAUUUAAGUUGACAGCCUGGGUAUUGUACAGCAUUUUCAUCUGAAGCAGAGUGAACUCACCACAAAAGGGUAACAUCUCUAAAGUUUGCAGCAUCAUCUCAUCUGAAGCAUGAUGUACCAUAAAACACAUGGAGCAUUUCUGUCAAAAUUUUCAUGUAAACACUUGGAAUGAGACUGUACCUGGGCUCAGAAAUCUCCUCAUGUGGAAGAAGAAAAAGCAAAAAAAAUCUACUGCUGGAGCACUGACUGUGGCAAACAGAAGACACUGUGUAAUAGCUUCAGCUGCUCAGUGGUGUGGUGAUGAUAUCUUCUGUCUUAUUAUGGCUGCUUGGAUGCUUCAAAGAAAGAUCACCUUAAAGGUUUCUAAAACUGUAUCUUUUAUAGCAGAUGUGUGAAGGGAUGUGCAAAUCAAAGGGCUUCUGUCAUUUCUGGCUGAAGUCCAAACAUCUUGGAACAACUCAGCAGAGAGUUUGAAUUGCUCACUCCAUCAUCUAUAGUGGAAUAAGUCUAAUAAUCAGAAUUCUUCUGAAGUGAUCAAAAAUUUAUGCCUAGGCAGGCUUACAGUGUUAGAGAUGCAUACUAUGUAUUAGGAGUUAAAACAUCACAUUUGAGUAUUUCUGCCAAAAUUUUUGUCUGUUUCUGCUAUAAUUUCAGGAGAACUUGGUGGCAGCUAUUAAGGUUAGUGAGUUACUGUAAAUAAGUUGUUUGAGUACAUUUGCAUUGGAAGAAUAUUCAGUGAAAUUAGGGUCAGUGUUAUAGACAGUAGAACACUUUGGCAAAUCUAACAAGGAAUUUAAAAGUUAAUAAAGCAGAAAUGUAUGUAUCUCACCCUUAUGUCCCUAUAAUAAAUAAAUCUCAUCAUUUAAGAGAAAAUCUUCCAUUUGAACUAAAAGAAAUUGUAUUCAUUUGUUAAAGAAUUAUUGAUGUUUCUUGUGGAAAAACUGAUAACAAACUGGCAAGAGUUGCUGUAUUCAGAUAAAUCUUAGCCAAAUGUUUCUUUGACCAGUAUAUCCUUUCUACGGUUUGUGAAUGGCUUGACAGUCAAAGGCACAGUUUUCUUCCACUUCUCUUCAAAAAUAUUAUCUCUUUAUGUUCUUCAAAUAUCAAAGCACGGCUUUGUUGAAGUGGAGGAAAAUACUGCUUGCCUUGAUUGCAGCUGGGGAGAUCCUGACCAGAAAGGAAGAACAGAUAUUUGGCACAUAGCCUUUGAAAAUAUGAAAGGUGGGAACUGAGAGGAGGGCAGGCAGGCAGGUGGGAAAGGGCUGAGGCAUUAACAUCGCACUGCACAAGUGGAAGGAUGCUUCAUACCAAGCAGAACUUAACAGGAGGCUGCUGUGGUCUUUGCCUCCACUGUCCGUAGUAAAUUUGCACCUAGUGUGUAUUUUCUGUUACAUCAGCAUGCAAAUGUAAUGAACAAUAUUAAUAAGCUUCAAAGGUCAUCCUCCUCUCUACUUAUGACAAGAACUGUUUCAUCAAUUGUCCAUUCGGUUAUAGCAGCCUCCACAGAUUAUUCAGGCAAGGAAAAUAAUUUUUUUUUUCAUUUGUGUUUUUGGAUUUAUCUGCCCACUCCUCUGUCCAAGUUUCAUAACACACUGGGGCAAGAAUUCAACAUCUGAAUUACAGGAAAAUUAAGCAUGCAGUCCUGUUUUUGUUUCUGCUAUGUGUGUGUGUUUUUUUUUUUUAAUGUAAUGCAUAAUCACAUCAUUAAAUAAGAUUUGAUAGUAUUAAUGUCAGGCAUCCCCUAUGAGACCUUUUGCUUUUCAAGUUGCCUUCGAUACCAAUAAAAAUACUCUAGCAAACACUUGCUAAAAUGUAAUUUUCAUGUGCUUACUUCUGCAUUUCAAACCCAAACAUGACAAGCAGUUUCCUUUCAGCAUUAGUAUCUGUUCUGGGUUUAUUUACAAUCUGUUGAGAACAACAACAACAAAAAAUUCAGUGUGAGUUUCUUUAUCUUAAAUAGUGGACAACAGAGCUAAUAUCUAAAACUAUCUAUUAGCAUGUCAGUUGAAGUGAUAUCAUACUCCCCCAGAAUAGUAGGUCUACUUUGAACAAGACUGUGAUUUAUGAUUCAGAAUCUCAAUAACUAUCUUUCUAAGCCAGUAAAGAUGACAUCUGGGUAGAACAGAUCUAGACCUAUUCAAACCACAUAGAUUUUACUAUUUAUAAAUUCAAAUUAUCUGUUUUCAACAUUGAAAGAGUGUUUCAGAAUGACUAAAAGGAACUGAUCAAUAGUGUACAACAGGCUAACUUAACCACAGGCUUCAUUGGCAACAUGCAAGAGAGAAUUUCUAAAUGUAGCAAUUUAGAAAACUGGUGGUUAGCCUUUGUUCAUCUUGUAUUUGGUGUGAACUAGGAAAUAAACUCAGCUAAAUAUAAAUGAUAGCUCUUAUAUGGCAGUUCCCUAUAAAUUUUUUUAAUAUUAAUCAUUAUAUUCCUGUAAAAAAUAAGAACUGUAAAGGCACUUGAAUUUAGAUUUUUAGUUGAAGCUUUAAGAGCUGUGGGUUUUGUCACAUACAGAAUUAAAAAAGGCAACAGAAGUCUCCUUGCACGCUGGAAGUCAGCUUGAUUAAAACUGAAGCUGCAGAAGCCGAAAGGGCAAAACUUUCACUGACUUCAACUGUGAAGAGAAAAAUACCCAGGAAGAACUUUUCGAUGCUAUUGCAAAUAUGGCACAAAUGUAGGAAUUGCAUGACCUGAGAUCUGGCUUAGAUUAUUUGAGAGUUUUCUUUUUCCUCUGUUUUUUUACUUGACUACACCCCAGAAUUCCUGUUCAUCUCAUUUUAAUGUGCUUGCCACAGCGUUCUCCCCACCCCCCCUCCAAAAAAAAAAAAAUACAAACUUUGGUGACGUGUACAGUGUGAUCAACUUCUGAAGUUUAAGUAGAAGUAGCAUUUCAUAAUAGGUGAACUGAAAAAACUUGCACUGAAUUUACUAAUACAAACUGUUGACUCAUUCUAUUAGCUUUGCAUGGGGCUUAGCUAUUGAAUCAAACUGCAUACGCCGCUGUGCUAAGAAGCUUGAAGUGUCUCGUUGACCAUUGCUUUUCAGGAGAGGGAAGCUGCCUCACUGAAAUCAACCACUGUCUUCAGUAAGGACAGAUUUUUCUUCUGGAAGAGUCAUAGUCAUUUCCAGAAGUGAUGAAUAAUGUAGUACUGUAAUACUUUUUUUUUUUUUUUUUGUCAGUAAAUGGACACUUAGUGUACAUAAUUGUAUUUCCUUAGUAUUGUUUAUCUUAAGCUCAAGAUGUGUAAUUCAUUUAGUGUUUUAUAAAUUGUUCUUUUGAAAUUGUGCCAGAUAUUAGAACAAAAAUUGGAAUGACCAUAGUAUUAUUCUUUAAUAUGGAGCACACAUAUAAACAGAAAGAACUGACUUGAAAUAAUUCAGACUUAUUAUAAAUAAGCACUGAAAAGUGCAGAUGUGAAAAAUAUAACUAUAUGAUUAAUUAUCCAGAAAAAUAAAGUGAACGCAUGCUAUAAACAAAUUAAAUGCAAACUUGCUCAUAGAAAAAGCAUGUUUUCUCUGUCCAAAACUAGAUUUAAUUUCUACUGAUAAUUAGAAACUCUGCUAAUAAUAAUACUGAACACUAAAUAUUCCUAUAAAAUAUUUAAUUUAGGAUAAGAUUUGAAAUACAGGGAGCUGCAAAUACUUCUUAUUUCUUUUAGUAGCGUGUGCUUCAGCAGUUUUCAGAUAUGCUGUCUUCUAGAAUGCUAUAUCUUCUAGAUGGCACCAGCCUUGUGAUACUUCUGAUCUAUUUUGGUUUUGAAACCUUUCCAGGUUAUUUGGAGUAUUUACAUCUCUUGCACCAAAUGUAAAUGAACUUACUACAUGAUCAAAUUUCAUCAGAAUAAUAAAUUAUCCUAGUUUAUUCCUUAUGCUGUAAGCAUGCAUCCUUGAGACUUUCAAUGUGUAGUUUAUGGAAAAUACUGCUUUUAAUUAAAAAGAAAUUUAAUUACACCAAAGGUUCUGUGUGUCACGCUCAUUGAGUACUAGACCUUGUCACUAGGUUAAUGGUAAAAAUAGAAUAAGGUCAAUUAAAUGUUUAUAAGGUAGGUUUUUAUUUUAAAAGCCAAGUGAAUGUAAGUUUUUUUUAUUAUUCUCAGAAAUCUUGUUUGUUGCAUCAAUCCAAGGAUGCUAUGGUCAGUUCAUCGGUGCGUGUUCUGUGCACAACAUAUUGUAUCUCCUUUUCCUUCUUUGUAGGUUCGCUACUCAAGGAGACCUUUGAGUAACCAGUAAUUUAGUGCAUGUCUACCAACGUGAAAGAGGAUCUCAAACUACUUUAGGCACUCACUUUUGUUGUUUUUUUAUGUUCACAGUAAUAUCCAUAGAACAUGCUCAUUAUAAAUAAUAGAACGGUAUUGCGUAUUUUAUUUUAAUUACAAUCGUAUUUAU
ensembl:lncRNA